AAGGCAAUGGUGGCUUUCCGAAUCGUGUCAGGUCCGGAAGGAAGCAGCACUAAGGUAGGUUCGUCAUGUGCCUUU
rnacentral:SRP_RNA from 1 species